rnacentral:piRNA from 1 species
UGCAGUGGACGGAUCUGUUUU